UACGGAGGGGGCAAGCGUUGUCCGGAUUUAUUGGGCUUAAAGCGUGUGUAGGCGGCGGCCUAAGUACCUUGUGAAAUCCCACGGCUCACCCGUGGAACUGCUCGGGAUACUGGGUCGCUUGAGCCACUUAGGGGCUACCGGAACAAAUGGUGGAGCGGUGAAAUGCGUAGAUAUCAUUUGGAACGCCAAUGGUGAAAACAGGUAGCUGGGAGUGUGCUGACGCUGAGACACGAAAGCCAGGGGAGCAAACGGG
rnacentral:rRNA from 1 species